rnacentral:lncRNA from 1 species
CAUAUCGAACUGGCCCCGAUGCGGAGGAUUUAGGAACUUUGGCCGCUCAAAAAGUCACAUCCAUUUCAGACAUCCAGAAGGGACCCCAGAAGUGGCACCUGCCCCACUUGGGGACAUCUAGGAGAGUGGCUUCCGGCCGCCUGUGGCUGUUGAGAGCAAGCCACCCUGAGCCUGCACGGAGGACUAAGGACCCUGCGCCUGACUCCCGGGGUCUGUCUCAGUUCUGGAGGUGAAGACCCUGUCCAUACAGAGCUUAGAACAAGUUUUGGGAGAUGAGAUAAAGCCACCCACUUGAGCUCCAAACUCUAUGGAGACUAUAUGAGAUAGAGAUCACCGUCCUGUUCCUGUUAUUGAUGAAGAGACCAGCAGGCAGAGCAGAUACAAUGUAACCACCUGCCUCCACGCCCUGCCACACCUCAGCGGUGAUGGACUGGCUGUAUCCUCACACGUGUGCCAUCCCUGUGAGUCUCUGAAGAAAACUUGCCUUUGCUCGACAACAGAGAGAUGCACAAUCAUCAUCUCUCCACGUUUCAGUCAGUGCGACUGACCCACAGCAUACGGUGGCAGUCAUGGACACAGCCCUCUGCUCUAGUUCCUUCACCAAAAUAAAAUAAGUGACUCUGAGUGCUUGGCCGGUAGCCAAGGACCUCUCAGGUUCAAUUCUUCAUCUUCUGCUUGCGAGAGUUAAUUACAGUGAGGGGGCAUGCGAAGCAAGAGCUCUUUGUGUUCACAGUGAAAUAAUGACUGAGUCACCCCUGAGACUGCAGAGGCUCCGGACUUCAGCUCGGCAUAGCGAGCACAAAUUCCCAACCUGAUAGCACGUGACUUUCUUUUUCAAAUGAAUCAGACUUUAUGAAUAAACAUCGACUUUUCCUCCCCCCACCCUCUAGCCCGACUGUGCCGAUUAGCAUGUUUUCUGCUUUUCUAGUUAAGUUGACUCACCAGUCCUUUUUAAGAGCCUGCUAGUUCUCGUGCUUCCUCCUGACAGGAUUCGGGGAUCCCUGCUCUGCACACCUGCUGACUGUCUAGCAUACCUUUGCCACUGUUUUUUU